CUUAGGAAGAAACAGAGAAAAUUCAGGAGGGAGCAGCGGCAAUUUAAUUUUCUUCCGGUAAGCUUUUAGCAGAAGGAAACCCAAAGACGGAGAGAAAAACCACCGCCUUCUCCUCACCGUAAGCCAAAUCAAGAAGAAGGAGAAACGGAAAGCCUUACAAGCGAUUCUAUUCCUCUGCUUUUAACCGACGCAAAAGGAAGCCUCCGCCUUCACCUUUUCUCUCUUCUUCUGCGAAGCUUUAAAUCAGAUGGCGGGACCUUGCACCGUUUCGCGAAUCAACAGGGAGGCGGGAGCAGGCGGGAGAUGCUUGCCGGAGCAGUUAAUUCCCCAUUUCCUAGCCCAAAUUGAGCAUCUGCCGCUCCGUCCAACUCACAUUACCUACCGGAGAGAAAAACCCUGAUUAUUUGCUCGGAGACCAAAAUCCUUCCCUGGCUUCGUUCCCGACAAUUCCGCACCUUCGCUCCUGUCUCUAUUUUAAUACGCCCUGGUUCGGCAUCAUGUUGCCGUGGUUGGGCAGUCUAUUCCGGAAGAAGUUAUGGACACCCAAGAAUUUGAGACUCAGGAUGGCGAAGGUGCAACAGAGAUGACUGCUUUUAGGGAGCGUAUCACAUAUAUGGACGAUAAGUUUCUGGUAUUCAGGGAAGUUCGGGCAAUUGAUGUGCCACUGCGGUCUAUCGUUUUUGCUACUCAUGUUAUGCCGUCAACAUAGCUACGAGCAACAGUUCUAUAGGUGCCCACAGUGGAAACAAAUACAGGACGACUGCAGUUUUUUCAGAUGGGCAAACAACCCUUCAUAUUUGAGAUCAUCCUAAUUGGACAAUGUUGUACGGGGUUUGAAUGUAUCACAAUCGGAGAACAUCUUUUAUGGUUCGACUGUUACCCAACCGCUCGGGAUUGGUUCGUACACCAACCGAACAACGUUCCUCAUGAUAUGUUAUUUUUGCAUUUCAAAUUGAAUGUUAUAAUUAUCUUACUAGUUGUAGUUUCAAUAUGUAUUUUGGUUUUAAUUUGGUAUCUUGAACUCUAUCUU